rnacentral:rRNA from 1 species
CGAUAAUCUACCCUUAAGUUCAGGAUAACCUCGGGAAACUGAGACUAAGACUGGAUAAGGGAAAGGUACUGGAAGGUCCUUUCCUUCAAAAGCAAUGCUUAAGGAUGAGUCGGCGGUGGAUUAGGUAGUUGGUGAGGUAAUGGCUCACCAAGCCAAAGAUCCAUAGGGGCCUCGGAAGAGGGAGCCCCGAGAAGGGCACUGAGAUACUGGCCCUUAGCCUACGGGGUGCAGCAGGCGCGAACCCUUUCCAAUGCACGAGAGUGUGAGAAGGGGAUCCAGAGUGCUUUACUAUGUAAAGCUUUUGCCAAGCGUAAAUAGCUUGGAGAAUAAGUGGUGGGCAAGACUGGUGCCAGCCGCCGCGGUAAUACCAGCUCCACGAGUGGGAACCACAAUUAUUGGGCCUAAAGCGCCCGUAGCCGGUUUAAUAAAUUUCUUGUGAAAUUGUUAGGCUUAACCUAACAACGUGCAGGAAACACUGUUAAACUUGGGAUCGGGAGGAGUUAGAAGUAUCUUUGGGGUAGCGGUAAAAUGUUAUAAUCCUAAAGAGACUACCUAUGGUGAAAGCAUCUAACUAGAACAAGUCCGACGGUGAGGGACGAAAGCUAGGGGAGCAAAACGGAUUAGAUACCCGAGUAGUCCUAGCUAUAAACGCUGCGAGCAAGAUGUUGCCUAUUCUUCGUGAAUAGGCAGUAUCGGAGAGAAGUCGUUAAGCUCGCCGCCUGGGAAGUAUGGUCGCAAGGCUGAAACUUAA